UAGUUUAUCAUGUUCCUCACGGCGCCCCACC
rnacentral:piRNA from 1 species